CGCUGCGCGGCCGCGGGCAGUGCGGACCUCGGGCCUCCGGAGAGCGGCUGCGGGCGCCUCUCCCGCGGGCAGUGCUGCGGCGUCUCCCCGGCGCUGCCGCUUCGCCGAGUUCCUCGGGCGGGUCCCGGCUCCAGAGAACACAAUGGUGGGUGAGGAGACUUCCCUAAGAAAUCGACUGUUGAAGUCCAGUGAAAAUCUUGAGGAGGACGAAGACCAGAAAAACGCCAUAAAGGAGUCCCUAAAGAUUCCUAAUAAUGGUGAGACUUUUAAUUUUUUGGAGUGAAUUAAUGGAAUGAAGAUAAAAUUUACUUUUCUAGCACAGGAA
rnacentral:lncRNA from 1 species